CAAGUCGAACGCGGUUUUCCCGCAAGGGAAAACUGAGUGGCGAACGGGUGAGUAACACGUGGGUGACCUACCUUCGAGUGGGGGAUAACGUCCCGAAAGGGACGCUAAUACCGCAUAACAUCCUGCUCUUGAAUGAGCGGAGAUCAAAGCCGGGGAUCGUAAGACCUGGCGCUUGAUGAGGGGCUCGCGUCCGAUUAGCUAGUUGGUGAGGUAAUGGCUCACCAAGGCAACGAUCGGUAGCCGGCCUGAGAGGGCGGACGGCCACACUGGGACUGAGACACGGCCCAGACUCCUACGGGAGGCAGCAGUGGGGAAUUGUUCGCAAUGGGCGCAAGCCUGACGACGCAACGCCGCGUGGAGGAUGAAGGUCUUCGGAUUGUAAACUCCUGUUGCCAGGGACGAAUGGCCACGACCUAAUACGUCGUGGUGUGACGGUACCUGGUGAGGAAGCCCCGGCUAACUCUGUGCCAGCAGCCGCGGUAAUACAGAGGGGGCAAGCGUUGUUCGGAAUUACUGGGCGUAAAGGGCGCGUAGGCGGCCUGUUAAGUCGAACGUGAAAUCCCCGGGCUCAACCCGGGAACUGCGUCCGAUACUGGCAGGCUUGAAUCCGGGAGAGGGAUGCGGAAUUCCAGGUGUAGCGGUGAAAUGCGUAGAUAUCUGGAGGAACACCGGUGGCGAAGGCGGCAUCCUGGACCGGCAUUGACGCUGAGGCGCGAAAGCCAGGGGAGCAAACGGGAUUAGAUACCCCGGUAGUCCUGGCCCUAAACGAUGAAUGCUUGGUGUGGCGGGUAUCGAUCCCUGCCGUGCCGAAGCUAACGCAUUAAGCAUUCCGCCUGGGGAGUACGGUCGCAAGGCUGAAACUCAAA
rnacentral:rRNA from 1 species